UACGUAGGGUGCGAGCGUUGUCCGGAAUUACUGGGCGUAAAGAGCUCGUAGGUGGUUUGUCGCGUUGUCCGUGAAAACUCACAACUCAAUUGUGGGCGUGCGGGCGAUACGGGCAGACUGGAGUACUGCAGGGGAGACUGGAAUUCCUGGUGUAGCGGUGAAAUGCGCAGAUAUCAGAAAGAACACCGGUGGCGAAGGCAGGUCUCUGGGCCGGAACUGACGCUGAGGAGCGAAAGCGUGAAGAGCGAACAGG
rnacentral:rRNA from 1 species